GUUCUAUGCUAAGUAUGUAAACAGAAACAAAAGUAAACAUUCAGUGGGCCUUAAAGUGCUUUUGAUUCCAGCCAGAAGAAAAAAGCAGAUGAACCUACAGAGGCGGUAUGGGAAACCUCCAUAAACUUGAUUAGGCCCAUGAGCCAGAAGCUUGCCUCCUCUGCUAUAUAAUAUUCUUUUUUCUGUAAUCAUGUAGCCUCUCAUAAAGUAACUCUCUUGCCUUUCUUUCUCCAGAGAUUCAGAGUCCUCUGGCUGUGACUAAAAUAAUGUGACAUGACUGCGAGUGACAGGAAUGUUCUUCAGGAGCUGGGUAUACAGUACCACAUGCAGGCUCAUUACUGUGGACAGAUGGACCAUCCCUCUGGUCAAUGAGCCACCUCUGUCAAAGGGACAAAACCAAGAGAUUUUCUGAUUAUGGUCUCUUCACUAGCAAGCAGACAGCGAGACUCCUCCUGGCCCUGCUGAAUGCAGGCACACUGUGCUGUCUAGAAUGGACCAAGCUCUGCUUCUAUGACAACAGAGUUGCCAACUUCCUCUGGCUGAAGUUCUUCUUCCUGGCUCUCCUCUUCUACUCUUUCAUCUGAGGAGGCCUCCUCCAGGCUAAACACAUGCAGCUCCUUAAGCUGCUCUUCAUUGAACAUGGGUUCCAGAACUUUGAUCAUGUUGGUUACCUUUCUCUGGACACAUUCCAACUUGUCAAUAUCUUUCCUGAACGGUGGUGUUGAGAACUGGACAUGGUACUUCAAACAAAGUCUGGCCAAAGAAGAUCACUACAUCAUUUGCGCUCGACAGAAGUACAUUCUCAACAUGACUAGCUACCUAUCUACCAGGGGAUUGGAUCCAUCUAAAACAAUGUCUUCUUUUCUUAAGAGUAAUAGCCUGUUUCCAAAGACCCUUGUUAUCCAUGACAGUAAAAAAAAGUUGCCACUUGUGAUAUGAGAUGACACUACCACACCCUUGAAAGCCCUAUCUCCUAAUUUCUCUGCCCUUUCUAGCUUUUCCAAGCCAGCUACCUUGGCUUUAGGGAAAACGAACCUGUGACCUUAUUAUUGUACUGAGCAGCCCCCCCCCCUCUCUCAACACCUGCUUGGCAGACAGAUAUUUGCAUGUGUUUCACCGAGUGCAAUAAACUAGAUAGGCACUA